AUGUGUACUAAUUCAAAUACUAAUAAAUUUGAUAAAACUCACAAUCUAAUCAAAAGAAAAAAUCCCCAACCUUUAAAGAUUUCAAAGCCCUUUAUCAGAAAUCCCUCCCACCACAGUCAGCCAGGCGACAUUUACAUUGAAGACCCUUUGCUUUUAUCUUAUCAGUCACCCAAGAUGGAGCGAGCAAUAGUUAUUGUCAUUGCGCUUGCAUGUGUUUUGUUCUGUGAACAGCAGACAGUCUUUGGGGCAGAAGUGAACAUGAGAGUUAAAGCAGGAGACAGCAUCACUCUCUACUCAGACUGUGUCAUACCAUUAGGAUCGCACAUUUUUUGGUGGAGAAACUGCUCACAUGAGCAUCAACCAUCUCUGUUAAUAGAGGCUGACAACCUGUUCCAGGGGACAUUUCCACGUUUUAGUUUUGUGCUCAACAGCUCCAGUAACUCCUAUGAUCUACAUAUUACAAACAUCAGCAUCUCUGACGAGGGACUGUAUUAUUGUGCCAUAAAAGAAAGGAAAGUACAUGAUAUACACAACAUCGUAGGAUCUGAGUACCAGUAUGGAAACAGAAAGACUCGUCUAUCUCUCUUGGAGCCAGCGUCUCCUCAUGCUGAGAGGUUUAACAGCACCUCCACACCUCCUGUAUCAGACCAUUGCUGGAAUCCACUGUUCAGUGUGUGUCCAGUGUGUGUUCUCCUCUGCUCUGUCUGUGUUUUCUUCCUCUAUCGGAGGAAAGCUACAGUUGCUGCAGCAACACAGACUGAGAACAGAUAUUAUGAGAGUGAAGAUGAAGUGUGCUAUGCCUCAUUGAACACACUUUCCAUGCUGAAGAAAAAGACAUUGCAGAAUUCUGAUUUGUGUACUUACACUGAGGUCCGAACCAAAAGAACAUAA
ensembl:lncRNA